CCCGCGCAGCUACCRUGCAGUCGAGCGGGGGAGGUAGCUUGCUACCGGACCUAGCGGCGGACGGGUGAGUAAUGCUUAGGAAUCUGCCUAUUAGUGGGGGACAACAUCUCGAAAGGGAUGCUAAUACCGCAUACGUCCUACGGGAGAAAGCAGGGGAUCUUCGGACCUUGCGCUAAUAGAUGAGCCUAAGUCGGAUUAGCUAGUUGGUGGGGUAAAGGCCUACCAAGGCGACGAUCUGUAGCGGGUCUGAGAGGAUGAUCCGCCACACUGGGACUGAGACACGGCCCAGACUCCUACGGGAGGCAGCAGUGGGGAAUAUUGGACAAUGGGGGGAACCCUGAUCCAGCCAUGCCGCGUGUGUGAAGAAGGCCUUAUGGUUGUAAAGCACUUUAAGCGAGGAGGAGGCUACUYUAGUUAAUACCUAGAGAUAGUGGACGUUACUCGCAGAAUAAGCACCGGCUAACUCUGUGCCAGCAGCCGCGGUAAUACAGAGGGUGCGAGCGUUAAUCGGAUUUACUGGGCGUAAAGCGUGCGUAGGCGGCUUAUUAAGUCGGAUGUGAAAUCCCCGAGCUUAACUUGGGAAUUGCAUUCGAUACUGGUGAGCUAGAGUAUGGGAGAGGAUGGUAGAAUUCCAGGUGUAGCGGUGAAAUGCGUAGAGAUCUGGAGGAAUACCGAUGGCGAARGCAGCCAUCUGGCCUAAUACUGACGCUGAGGUACGAAAGCAUGGGGAGCAAACAGGAUUAGAUACCCUGGUAGUCCAUGCCGUAAACGAUGUCUACUAGCCGUUGGGGCCUUUGAKGCUUUAGUGGCKCAGCUAACGCGAUAAGUAGACCGCCUGGGGAGUACGGUCGCAAGACUAAWACUCAAAUGAUUGAYGGGGGCCCGCACAGCGUGAGCAUGUGUUAUUCGAUGCACSCGAGACUUACCUGCCUUGACUACUAGAACCUUCAGAAUGAAUGUGCUCGGCAUCUAGAAUACAGGUGSCUGCCAUUG
rnacentral:rRNA from 1 species